CUCUCUUUUCCCAAGAACCCUGAAUUAGGGUUUCUUUCUUGAAUCUCUUCUCUGUUUCAAAGCUGAUUCUGAGUUUCUAAUCCUUUCAUUUUUCAACUCUUUUACCCAAUUUUCUUGGAAAUAAAUCUUUUCCUUCUAUUUAUGACGUAAAUCAUACCCUAGCCCUUCUCCCAUUACAGCAUGGAAAUACAACCAUCACGACAAUAGAUUCUUCUAGGUAUAUUUGAACAUUUGGCAAAAUCCAUGAAAAGUCAAGGCGAGUUGUUGGAAGAAGGGUGUCAGAAAAUGGACAGCUUAACAAGUUGGUUCUAGAGCAAAUAGGUAAGAUGUUAGAGUCGAUUCAAGCUUUAAAAACCAGCAUCCAAAUAUAUGUAUAGAUUCGAGGAAUAAUGUUGGUGAAUUGGGAAUACCAAUCCAAGUUGCAGAAAUCAGAACCCAUGGAAUUGAGAUUUCUAGAUGUAAUAGCGUGGAAUUGAGAAAGACCGAGAAUAAUGAGACUAGGGAGGAGACUGUCUCCCU
rnacentral:misc_RNA from 1 species